AACGUAGGUUCCGAGCGUUAUCCGGAUUUACUGGGCGUAAAGCGCGUUCAGGCGGUUUGGCAAGUCGGGCAUGAAAUCUCUCGGCUCAACCGGGAGAGGUUGUCCGAUACUGCUGGACUUGAGGGCAGUAGAGGGUGGUGGAAUUCCGGGUGUAGUGGUGAAAUGACGUAGAUAUCCGGAGGAACACCAGUGGCGAAAGCGGCCACCUGGACUGUACCUGACGCUGACACGCGAAAGCUAGGGGAGCGAACGGG
rnacentral:rRNA from 1 species